CGCCACCGGAAGCAAUUUCGGUGGUGACGGUUCAGACGUCAGCCGAGGUCAUAGUAGCCUAAUGCCCGGGGUAAUGCCCGGGACAUGGUGAAGGAC
rfam:Bacterium F16 isolate F16 NODE_77_length_2166_cov_4.49926, whole genome shotgun sequence.